rnacentral:rRNA from 1 species
CAGCAGCCGCGGUAAAACCAGCAGCCCAAGUGGUGGUCGCCCUUAUUGGGCCUAAAGCGCUCGUAGCCUGGCCGGUAAGUUCCCCGUGAAAUCGGGUCGCCCAACGAUUCGGCUUGCGGGGAAUACUGUCGGUCUUGGGGCCGGGAGACGCCGAGGGUACUCCGGGGGUAGCGGUGAAAUGCUGUAAUCCUCGGGGGACUACCAGUGGCGAAGGCGCUCGGCGAUAACGGGCCUGACGGUGAGGGGCGAAAGCUGGGGGCGCGAACGGGAUUAGAUACCCGCGUAGUCCCUGUCUCUUAUU